rnacentral:rRNA from 1 species
CCUACGGGAGGCAGCAGUGAGGAAUAUUGGUCAAUGGGCGGGAGCCUGAACCAGCCAAGUCGCGUGAGGGAAGACGGUCCUAUGGAUUGUAAACCUCUGUAGGCGGGGAGCAAUGCCGGGCACGUGUGCCCGGAGGGAGAGUACCCGCAGAAUAAGCAUCGGCGAACUCCGUGCCAGCAGCCGCGGUAAUAAGGAGGAUGCGAGCGUUAGCCGGAUUUCUUGGGUUUAAAGGGUGCGUAGGCGGAUUUUUAAGUCAGCGGUAAAAUGUCCGGGCUCAACCCGGGCCGGCCGUUGAAACUGGGGCUCUUGAGUGGGCGAGACGUAUGCGGAAUGCGUGGUGUAGCGGUGACAUGCAUAGAUAUCACGCAGAACUCCGAUUGCGAAGGCAGCAUACCGGUGCCCGACUGACGCUGAGGCACGAAAGCGUGGGGAUCGAACAGGAUUAGAUACCCGAGUAGUC